rnacentral:rRNA from 1 species
CCUACGGGAGGCAGCAGUGGGGAAUUUUGGACAAUGGGCGCAAGCCUGAUCCAGCAAUGCCGCGUGCAGGAUGAAGGCCUUCGGGUUGUAAACUGCUUUUGUACGGAACGAAAAAGUCUGCCCUAAUACGGUGGGCCCAUGACGGUACCGUAAGAAUAAGCACCGGCUAACUACGUGCCAGCAGCCGCGGUAAUACGUAGGGUGCGAGCGUUAAUCGGAAUUACUGGGCGUAAAGCGUGCGCAGGCGGUUAUAUAAGACAGAUGUGAAAUCCCCGGGCUCAACCUGGGACCUGCAUUUGUGACUGUAUAGCUAGAGUACGGUAGAGGGGGAUGGAAUUCCGCGUGUAGCAGUGAAAUGCGUAGAUAUGCGGAGGAACACCGAUGGCGAAGGCAAUCCCCUGGACCUGUACUGACGCUCAUGCACGAAAGCGUGGGGAGCAAACAGGAUUAGAUACCCUGGUAGUCCACGCCCUAAACGAUGUCAACUGGUUGUUGGGUCUUCACUGACUCAGUAACGAAGCUAACGCGUGAAGUUGACCGCCUGGGGAGUACGGCCGCAAGGUUGAAACGUCGAAAAGUAGAGUAGAGCGUGAGACGAGCGAGGACGACGACGAGGGAGGAGG